rnacentral:rRNA from 1 species
AUUGAACGCUGGCGGCAUGCCUUACACAUGCAAGUCGAACGGUAACGGGUCCUUCGGGAUGCCGACGAGUGGCGAACGGGUGAGUAAUAUAUCGGAACGUGCCCAGUAGUGGGGGAUAACUGCCCGAAAGAGCAGCUAAUACCGCAUACGACCUGAGGGUGAAAGGGGGGGAUCGCAAGACCUCUCGCUAUUGGAGCGGCCGAUAUCAGAUUAGCUAGUUGGUGGGGUAAAGGCCUACCAAGGCAACGAUCUGUAGUUAGUCUGAGAGGACGACCAGCCACACUGGGACUGAGACACGGCCCAGACUCCUACGGGAGGCAGCAGUGGGGAAUUUUGGACAAUGGGCGCAAGCCUGAUCCAGCAAUGCCGCGUGCAGGAAGAAGGCCUUCGGGUUGUAAACUGCUUUUGUCAGGGAAGAAAUCUUCUGGGCUAAUACCCCGGGAGGAUGACGGUACCUGAAGAAUAAGCACCGGCUAACUACGUGCCAGCCGCCGCAGUAA